AUCCCAUGAUCAGGACACUUCCUAAGUAGAUCCUUAAACCUUUCCAAAACCUCAAAUAUAAUUUCAUCUUUAGUUUUCUUAAAACAGGUUAUGUCAUUCCUCUUUUU